rfam:Triticum aestivum genome assembly, contig: Triticum_aestivum_CS42_TGACv1_scaffold_435101_5DL
AUAGUACUCCCUCCGUCCCAAAAUUCUUGUCUUAGAUUUGUCUAGAUACAUAUGUAUCUAAUACUAAAAUGUGACUUUCAAUCCGUAUUUAGACAAAUCUAAGACAAGAAUUUUGGGACGGAGGGAGUAGUAG